rnacentral:rRNA from 1 species
AGAGUUUGAUCAUGGCUCAGAUUGAACGCUGGCGGCAGGCCUAACACAUGCAAGUCGAACGGUAACAGGAAGCAGCUUGCUGCUUCGCUGACGAGUGGCGGACGGGUGAGUAAUGUCUGGGAAGCUGCCUGAUGGAGGGGGAUAACUACUGGAAACGGUAGCUAAUACCGCAUAAUGUCGCAAGACCAAAGAGGGGGACCUUCGGGCCUCUUGCCAUCGGAUGUGCCCAGAUGGGAUUAGCUUGUUGGUGGGGUAACGGCUCACCAAGGCGACGAUCCCUAGCUGGUCUGAGAGGAUGACCAGCCACACUGGAACUGAGACACGGUCCAGACUCCUACGGGAGGCAGCAGUGGGGAAUAUUGCACAAUGGGCGCAAGCCUGAUGCAGCCAUGCCGCGUGUAUGAAGAAGGCCUUCGGGUUGUAAAGUACUUUCAGCGGGGAGGAAGGGAGUAAAGUUAAUACCUUUGCUCAUUGACGUUACCCGCAGAAGAAGCACCGGCUAACUCCGUGCCAGCAGCCGCGGUAAUACGGAGGGUGCAAGCGUUAAUCGGAAUAACUGGGCGUAAAGCGCACGCAGGCGGUUUGUUAAGUCAGAUGUGAAAUCCCCGGGCUCAACCUGGGAACUGCAUCUGAUACUGGCAAGCUUGAGUCUCGUAGAGGGGGGUAGAAUUCCAGGUGUAGCGGUGAAAUGCGUAGAGAUCUGGAGGAAUACCGGUGGCGAAGGCGGCCCCCUGGACGAAGACUGACGCUCAGGUGCGAAAGCGUGGGGAGCAAACAGGAUUAGAUACCCUGGUAGUCCACGCCGUAAACGAUGUCGACUUGGAGGUUGUGCCCUUGAGGCGUGGCUUCCGGAGCUAACGCGUUAAGUCGACCGCCUGGGGAGUACGGCCGCAAGGUUAAAACUCAAAUGAAUUGACGGGGGCCCGCACAAGCGGUGGAGCAUGUGGUUUAAUUCGAUGCAACGCGAAGAACCUUACCUGGUCUUGACAUCCACGGAAGUUUUCAGAGAUGAGAAUGUGCCUUCGGGAACCGUGAGACAGGUGCUGCAUGGCUGUCGUCAGCUCGUGUUGUGAAAUGUUGGGUUAAGUCCCGCAACGAGCGCAACCCUUAUCCUUUGUUGCCAGCGGUCCGGCCGGGAACUCAAAGGAGACUGCCAGUGAUAAACUGGAGGAAGGUGGGGAUGACGUCAAGUCAUCAUGGCCCUUACGACCAGGGCUACACACGUGCUACAAUGGCGCAUACAAAGAGAAGCGACCUCGCGAGAGCAAGCGGACCUCAUAAAGUGCGUCGUAGUCCGGAUUGGAGUCUGCAACUCGACUCCAUGAAGUCGGAAUCGCUAGUAAUCGUGGAUCAGAAUGCCACGGUGAAUACGUUCCCGGGCCUUGUACACACCGCCCGUCACACCAUGGGAGUGGGUUGCAAAAGAAGUAGGUAGCUUAACCUUCGGGAGGGCGCUUACCACUUUGUGAUUCAUGACUGGGGUGAAGUCGUAACAAGGUA